CGCGGGCUCCGACCGGACCCACGCAGAGCAACGCCAGCCCCAGCACAGCCACAGCAAGAGCGGCGGAAAGGCCGCGGGCCGCCAUCUUUACUCCAACAUCAGCAUCCUGUUCCCGCGGCACUUCCGGGAGCGGGGUGCUCUGGGACGUCACGUGACCCGCGGCGGGCGGGUCUGCGUGGGGCGGCCUCGCCUCACGGCCUUCCCGUGCUACCCCCGUGCCCGGGAGAUGCCCGCACGUCUCCCCGGGCCCGCCUGAUGCCCAAGAGACGACCCCCGGCCCGCCCCGCCUCUCGCUGAGGCAGUACCCCGGCCGAGCCGCCAGAUGUCAGCACGAGGCUUUGUGCCUCGCUCCGCUCUCAGUGACUGCUCCAGUCGCCAAAUAGCACGAAGCUUUCCCGUACAAUCCCAGGCCCUGCUUCAGCCCAUCCGCCUCUCCCGCUCAGAAGGAUUCCUUACAGACUUUUUUGGAAGUAUAUGAUGAGCAACCAUUGAGAUUGGAUGGAAAGCAUCAGCAGCACCAGGAAACUCUUGGCAUAUGGAUAGUCUGAAUUGCUUCUGCAUGGGAUCCAGUGUGGGGAAUGCUCUGAAUCACUGUAACAGAGGUUGAUAUCCAGAUGCCAUCCAGUGAAAGGGGAAGUGCAUGAAUCCAGGGGAGGCAAUGCAUGCAGCAGCUGCGCAGCUAUCAGAUCCCAGCCCUCUGCGAGCAGAAUCUGUCCUCCUCAGGGGAGUAAAUUUGCUCCCCCCACGUAAGUCUUUC
rnacentral:lncRNA from 1 species